CAGAUUACAACUCAUAUACAUGAGACUAUUACUGAUAUUUACAAGUCAGACUAUUACUGUGACCAACUGACAUCAAUACUAAUGGAGCUCUGCCCAGAUUUUAACCCUCACAAAUAUUCGAGGGAUGUCUACUCCUCACUCAUGGGUAAGGGAGAAGACUACCUUCACUCAAAUUAAUUGAGGAAGGAAAUACCCCCACAAUACUUUUGUGGGGGUUCGAACUGCUGCCCUCCAAGAUGGAGGGCAGCAGCCCUGGCCACUCGGGCUACUGCCCGAGU
rnacentral:lncRNA from 1 species